CCCGAUGAUAAGAGGCGAGAUCAUCUCCCAAGUUCUGGCCGGCCUCGGCCUCGACUACAACCCUGUCGUGUCAGCCCUUGCUGCGCGGGUUGAACCCGUGUAUGUCCAUGAGCUAUACACGCAGCUUCUCAGCUUCGACG
rfam:Triticum aestivum genome assembly, contig: Triticum_aestivum_CS42_TGACv1_scaffold_393066_5AS